AGAUUGAACGCUGGCGGCAGGCCUAACACAUGCAAGUCGAACGGACCCUUCGGGGUUAGUGGCGGACGGGUGAGUAACACGUGGGAACGUGCCUUUUGGUUCGGAAUAGCUCCUGGAAACGGGUGGUAAUGCCGAAUGUGCCCUUCGGGGGAAAGAUUUAUCGCCAUUAGAGCGGCCCGCGUCUGAUUAGCUAGUUGGUGAGGUAAUGGCUCACCAAGGCGACGAUCAGUAGCUGGUCUGAGAGGAUGACCAGCCACAUUGGGACUGAGACACGGCCCAAACUCCUACGGGAGGCAGCAGUGGGGAAUCUUGCGCAAAUGGGCGAAAGCCUGACGCAGCCAUGCCGCGUGAAUGAUGAAGGUCUUAGGAUUGUAAAAUCUUUCACCGGGACGAUAAUGACGGUACCGAGAAGAAGCCCGGCUAACUUCGUGCCAAGCAGCCGC
rnacentral:rRNA from 1 species